CCUACGGGAGACAGCAGUGAGGAAUAUUGGUCAAUGGACGAGAGUCUGAACCAGCCAAGUAGCGUGAAGGAUGACUGCCCUAUGGGUUGUAAACUUCUUUUAUAUGGGAAUAAAACGUUCCACGUGUGGGAUUUUGUAUGUACCAUAUGAAUAAGGAUCGGCUAACUCCGUGCCAGCAGCCGCGGUAAUACGGAGGAUCCGAGCGUUAUCCGGAUUUAUUGGGUUUAAAGGGAGCGUAGGUGGAUUGUUAAGUCAGUUGUGAAAGUUUGCGGCUCAACCGUAAAAUUGCAGUUGAAACUGGCAGUCUGGAGUACAGUAGAGGUGGGCGGAAUUCGUGGUGUAGCGGUGAAAUGCUUAGAUAUCACGAAGAACUCCGAUUGCGAAGGCAGCUCACUGGACUGCAACUGACACUGAGGCUCGAAAGUGUGGGUAUCAAACAGGAUUAGAUACCCGGGUAGUC
rnacentral:rRNA from 1 species